GAACGAACCUUCGGGGUUAGUGGCGCACGGGUGCGUAACGCGUGGGAAUCUGCCCUUAGGUACGGAAUAACUCAGGGAAACUUGUGCUAAUACCGUAUGAUGUCGAGAGACCAAAGAUUUAUCGCCUAGGGAUGAGCCCGCGUAGGAUUAGCUAGUUGGUGGGGUAAAGGCCUACCAAGGCUACGAUCCUUAGCUGGUCUGAGAGGAUGAUCAGCCACACUGGGACUGAGACACGGCCCAGACUCCUACGGGAGGCAGCAGUGGGGAAUAUUGGACAAUGGGCGAAAGCCUGAUCCAGCAAUGCCGCGUGAGUGAAGAAGGCCUUCGGGUUGUAAAGCUCUUUUACCCGGGAAGAUAAUGACUGUACCGGGAGAAUAAGCCCCGGCUAACUCCGUGCCAGCAGCCGCGGUAAUACGGAGGGGGCUAGCGUUGUUCGGAAUUACUGGGCGUAAAGCGUCCGUAGGCGGCUUUUUACGUCAGAGGUGAAAGCCCACGACUCAAUUCGUGGAACU
rnacentral:rRNA from 1 species